rnacentral:rRNA from 1 species
GACGAACGCUGGCGGCGUGCUUAACACAUGCAAGUCGAACGGAAAGGCCCUUCUUGCAGGGUACUCGAGUGGAGAACGGGUGAGUAACAUGUGGGUGCUCUGCCCUGCACUUCGGGAUAAUCCUGGGACACUGGGUCUUAUCCCGGAUAGGUGCCUUUUUUAGUGUGAUGGUUGGAAAGUUUUUUCGGUUUUGGAUGAGCUCGCGGCCUAUCAGCUUGUUGGUGGGGUAAUGGCUUACCAAGGCGGCGACGGGUAGCCGGCCUGAGAGGGUGGACGGCCACAUUGGGACUGAGAUACGGCCCAGACUCCUACGGGAGGCAGCAGUGGGGAAUAUUGCACAAUGGGCGCAAGCCUGAUGCAGCGACGCCGCGUGGGGGAUGACGGCCUUCGGGUUGUAAACUGCUUUCGCUAGGGACGAAGCUUUUGGUGACGGUACCUAGAUAAGAAGCACCGGCUAACUACGUG